UCUCAAAACUCAAAGGACUUGACGGUGCCCCAAACCAACCUAGAGGAGCCUGUCCUAUAAUCGAUAAUCCACGCUACACCUCACCCCCUCUCGAAACCAGUAUGUAUACCGCCGUCUCUCAGUUCGCCUUAUGACAGACCCAUAGCGAACACAACAGCCCACCACUCAAACGUCAGGUCAAGGUGCAGCUAAUGAGGGGGCAGCGAUGGGCUACAUUUUCUACAACAGAACACCACCAGCCACCAGAUGAAACAUAGGCCACAAGGCGGAUUUAGCAGUAAGCCAAACA
rnacentral:rRNA from 1 species